UAAAUGAUGUACAUCUUCCAAUUUUCUAUCCACAGAUGGAUGGUCUACCCCACAGAGAGGAUUCUUUACAAAAUUUUCUCUAAGUCCAGCUGCCUGAAAAGCAUCUUCUCUUGGAAGGCAACCAUUAAACAAUCAACACACAAGGCCAGGCCCGGUGGCUCACGCCUGUAAUCCCAGCACUUUGGGAGGUUAAAGCUGGCAAAUCACUCGAGGUCAGGAGUUCAAGACCAGCCUGGCCAACAUGGUGAAACCCCAUCUCUACUACAAAUACAAAAAUUAACUGGGCAUGGUGACGGGCACCUGUAAUCCAAGCUACUCGGGAGGCUGAGGCAGGAGAAUCAUUUAAACCCAGGAGGCCAAAGUUGCAGUGAGCUGAGAUCACACCACUACACUCCAGGCUGGGCGACAGAGCGAGACUCCAUCUCAAACAAACAAGCAAAAAAAAUCAACACACAAUCACUACCGAAGAAACAAGGGUGCAGAAUUUUAAAGAAAAAUAAGAAAAAAGCCCUAACCUCAAGGUACUUAAAAUUAUCUGUAGAUCACAAUAGAUGGACGAACAGAGAAACUGAAAAUAAGAAGAAGGGAUUAGUGGGUGAUAGUAUUUGAAAGGUAAGUGAAGUUGCAGGCUGCAAAUGUUCUCAAGACUCCAAAAAUCAGUGCGAAUAUCAACAGGUGAUAAGAGAAAACUGUCUUCUGUCUUUAGUCAUUCAUUAAACAAAUAUUUUUGAGGCCUGUAAGGCUUAAAUGACAAGCUUUCUUCUAAACACUGGGGCAGAUUUUAUGGUAGUGAAAAACUGUCACAAGGUUCUAUUUCAUAUGGAGCUUUCAUUCAAAUGGAAAGUCAACAAAUAAAUAAAUGAAAUAAAUAAAAAAGAUAGUUUCAUCUGGUGAUAAAUGCUAUGAACAAAAUAACUCUGGGUGAUGUGACAGAGAAUAACUAUGAAGGUUAUAUUUCGGCUGAGACUUGGAUGCAGAGAAGGAAAC
rnacentral:lncRNA from 1 species